rnacentral:rRNA from 1 species
GACGAACGCUGGCGGCGUGCCUAACACAUGCAAGUCGAGCGAACAGACGAGGAGCUUGCUCGGCUGACGUGAGCGGCGGAGGGGUGAGUAACACGUGUAUAACCUACUUAUAAGACUGGGAUAAUUACGGGAAACCGGCGCUUAUAGGGGAGGAUAUAUUGAAGCGCAGGGUGCAAUAGUGAAAGACGGUUUUGCUGGCAGUUAUAGAUGGAUACGCGCCGCAUGAGCUAGUUGGUAAGGUAACGGGUUACCAAGGCUACGAUGCGUAGCCGACCUGAGAGGGUGGUCGCCCACACGGGAAGUGAGCCAGGGUCCAGACGCCUGCGGGAGGCAGCAGUAGGGAAUCUUACGCAACGGGGGAGAGCCUGACGGAACAACGCGGCGUCAGUUAUGAAGGUGCCGGGAUCGGAAAGCUCUGUUACUAGUUGAGAACAAAUGUGUCAGUAGCUGUGCAGUUAUUGACGGUACCUGAUCAAGAAGCCACGGCUAACUACGUG